rnacentral:rRNA from 1 species
AUUAAACGCUGGCGGCAUGCCUUACACAUGCAAGUCGAACGGUAACAGGUCUUCGGAUGCUGACGAGUGGCGAACGGGUGAGUAAUACAUCGGAACGUGCCCAGACGUGGGGGAUAACGAGGCGAAAGCUUUGCUAAUACCGCAUACGAUCUAAGGAUGAAAGCAGGGGACCGCAAGGCCUUGCGCGUUUGGAGCGGCCGAUGGCAGAUUAGGUAGUUGGUGGGAUAAAAGCUUACCAAGCCGACGAUCUGUAGCUGGUCUGAGAGGACGACCAGCCACACUGGGACUGAGACACGGCCCAGACUCCUACGGGAGGCAGCAGUGGGGAAUUUUGGACAAUGGGCGAAAGCCUGAUCCAGCAAUGCCGCGUGCAGGAUGAAGGCCUUCGGGUUGUAAACUGCUUUUGUACGGAACGAAAAGGCUCUGGCUAAUACCUGGGGCACAUGACGGUACCGUAAGAAUAAGCACCGGCUAACUACGUG